UGGGCUUGAAGAUGUGAAGUCUGACUGA
rnacentral:piRNA from 1 species